rnacentral:pre_miRNA from 1 species
UGGGUUUGUCCUAAGUCAAACAUCUUUAAGUUUGACCAAGUUUACAGAAAAAUAUAGCAGCAUUUCCAACACAAAUAAAUAUGCUUAAAAAAUAUAUUUCACGGUCGACCUAAUGAAACUAAUUUGAUGUUGUGGAUGUUAAUAUAUUUUACUAUAAACUUGGUUAAACUUAAAUAUGUUUGACUUAGGAUAAAUCCAA